GACGAACGCUGGCGGCGUGCUUAACACAUGCAAGUCGAGCGGUAAGGCCCUUUCGGGGGUACACGAGCGGCGAACGGGUGAGUAACACGUGGGUGACCUGCCCUCAGCUCCGGGAUAAGCCUGGGAAACCGGGUCUAAUACUGGAUAUGACUCCGAUGACGCAUGUUGUGGGGUGGAAAGCCUUGUGCGGCUGAGGAUGGGCCCGCGGCCUAUCAGCUUGGUUGGGUGGGGUGAUGGCCUACCAAGGCGACGACGGGUAGCCGGCCUGAGAGGGCGACCGGCCACACUGGGACUGAGACACGGCCCAGACUCC
rnacentral:rRNA from 1 species